CUGCCCAAAACACCUAGCUAUGCCACACCCACAAGGGAAUUCAGCAGUGAUUAACAUUGAGCAUUAGCGCAAGCUUGACUCAGUUAAAGUAAACAGAGCCGGCUAAUCUGGUGCCAGCCGCCGCGGUUACACCACGUGGCUCAAGUCGACCUCCUCCGGCGUAAAGCGUGAUUAAAGUUAUACACCACUAGAGUAAAAUUAAAACUGAGCUGUGACACGCCUGUUUAUUAAGAAACUCGAAAACGAAAGUUACUCUAAUUAAAUCAACUUGAAUUCACGACAGCUGGGGAACAAACUGGGAUUAGAUACCCCACUAUGCCCAGCCGUAAACUUUUAUUUACACUCAAAUCGCCAGGGAACUACGAGCUAAGCUUAAAACCCAAAGGACUUGACGGUACCCCACAUCCCCCUAGAGGAGCCUGUCCUAUAAUCGAUAAUCCACGUUUAACCUCACCAUUUUUAGUUAAUCAGCCUGUAUACCUCCGUCGUCAGCUUACCCCGUGAGCGUCAAUUAGUGAGCUUAAUGUUAUUUCACCAAUACGUCAGGUCAAGGUGCAGCAAAUGAAAUGGAAAGAGAUGGGCUACACUUUCUAUGUUAGAAGAAACGAAAAACUAUUUAUGAAACCUAGUUAGAAGGCGGAUUUAGCAGUAAAAAGGAAUCAGCAUGUCCAUUUUAACCCGGCACU
rnacentral:rRNA from 1 species